GGGGACCUUCGGGGCCCUAUACCAAGGGGUGGGUUCGACCCGCCCUACAUAACCGGCAGGGAAACCUGUCGAAGCUAAACGGAAGACAGAAA
rnacentral:ncRNA from 1 species